UAAUUAAGCGGAGGAAAAGAAACUAACUAGGAUUCCCUCAGUAACGGCGAGUGAAGCGGGACUAGCUCAGGAUGUGAAUCUGCGCUUUUAUGGCGCCGAAUUGUGGUCUGUAGACUUUGACAUUAUUUGCCGGGCCAAGUUCCUUGGAAAAGGACAGCUGAGAGGGUGACACUCCCGUCCGCCUGGUAAAGUGAGUCAUUUGUCAACGAGUCGAGUUGUUUGGGAUUGCAGCUCUAAUUUGGUGGUAAAUUCCAUCUAAAGCUAAAUAUUGGUGGG
rnacentral:rRNA from 1 species